GGGGCCUGUCCUGUAAUUGAUAGUCCACGAUUUAUAUUACUUAUCUUAGAAGUUUGUAUAUCGUCGUAGGUUGAAUAUUUUAAAAGAAUUUGAAUGUUCAAGAUUCUAAAUUUAGAAGGAAAUCAGAUCAAGAUGCAGCUUAUAGAUGAGAAGAGAUGGGUUACAAUAAAUUUAUUUAGAUGGUUUAAAUAAUUAAAAUUAUUUAAUAAAGUGGAUUUGAAAGUAAUAUAAUUAAAUUUAAUUGUAUGAUUUAAGCUCUAAAAUAUGCACAUAUCGCCCGUCACUCCCACCCCAAGGUGGGAUAAGUCGUAACAAAGUAGGUGUACUGGAAAGUGUACCUAGAAAGACAAAUUAGAGCUUGUUAUAAAGCAUUUUAUUUACAUUAAAAAGUUAAUUGUGAAAAUCAGUUUAAUUUGAAUUAAAUAACUUAUAAUUUUUGUUUAAAAGAAAUAUCUUUAAGUUUUAUUAUAUUUUUAGAAAAAAUAAUAAUUAAUUAUAGAGUAAUAGUAUAGUGAUAGAAAGUUGAAAUAGAUGAAAAUUUAAAUUUUUGAAAGAAGAGUUGAUUUUUUGUACCUUGUGUAUCAGGGUUUAUUAAAUAAUAAUUAUAAAUUUUAAUUUUCUCGAUUUUAAAAGAGCUAAAAAAUUAUAUAUUUUAUUGUGGAAUAAAUACUUAUAAUAAUUUUUUAGUAAUGAAACGUUAUUCGUUUUUAAAUAUAUCUAGUUUUUUAAGAAAUAAAUUUAAUUUAGAUGUUAAAUGUAAUAUUAGGUUGAUUUAUUAAUUUAGUAUAUUUAAUAUUUAAUAUUUUAAGGGAUAAGCUUUAAAAUAAAAAUUUAAAAAUUAUUGUGUUAAUAUAAGAUUUGUAGGAUUAGUAAUUUUCAUCAAUAAAGAGUAUGUUAUAAUAAAUUUUAUUAAUAAUAUAAUUUAUAUGAAUUUUAAAUUUUUUAUUAAAAUUAUUGAAAUAAUAGUAAAUUUAAUGUAAUAAUGAUAAAAUUAGUAUAAUUUAAUGUAUAAGAUAAUUUUUGAGAUAAAGGUUAAAUUAAGGAACUCGGCAAAUAUAUUUUCCGCCUGUUUAUUAAAAACAUGUCUUUUUGAUAAUAAUUUAAAGUCUGGCCUGCCCAAUGAUUAUUUGAAUGGCUGCGGUAUUUUGACCGUACUAAGGUAGCAUAAUAAUUAGUUUUUUAAUUGAAAGCUGGUAUGAAUGGUUGGACGAGAAAAUAGCUGUCUCAAUUUAAUUUUAAUUAGAAUUUUAUUUUUAAGUAAAAAAGCUUAAAUAAUUUUAAAAGACGAGAAGACCCUAUAGAGUUUUAUAUUUUAUUAUUUUUGUAGGUUUAAAGAAUUUAAUAUUUAAAUGAUAAUAAAAUAUUUUGUUGGGGUGACAAAAAAAUUGAAAUAACUUUUUUUAUAUAAAUUCAUUGAUUUAUGAGUAAGUGAUCCAUUAUUUAUGAUUAAAAGAUUAAAUUACCUUAGGGAUAACAGCGUAAUUUUUUUUGAGAGUUCAAAUCGAAAAAAAAGAUUGCGACCUCGAUGUUGGAUUAAAAUUAACUUUUGGUGUAGGAGCUAAAACGUUAGGUCUGUUCGACCUUUAAAAUUUUACAUGAUCUGAGUUCAAACCGGAGA
rnacentral:rRNA from 1 species